rnacentral:pre_miRNA from 1 species
UCAUGUCUCUGUGUUCUCAGGUCACCCCUCUGGGUCACCUUAUUUCUACAUUUCCAUCUCAAAUUCUAUUUUCUUAUAUUUAUUCGGGAGCGACGUUGAGACACAUACGUUCUCGAAAGAUAUCUAAACAAAUAUGGUUAGAUCCAGAGGGGUGCAACCUGAAAACACAGACGACGGA